UGGAGCCCCCAUUGACAAAGCCCCUCUUGCAAAGGGGACACACACACACUCACGCCGCCCCACACGCACUGCUUGGAGGGCAGUUUGAUCUUGUCUCAUUGGCGUCUCCGGCCUGAAAAGAAAAUCGUUUGGGUAAACAGCCAAGCUUCCAGGCUUAACGCCCCGCUCCUGCCUCCGCCCCUCUGUCCCCUCCCGCCUCCCCCCACUCCCCUUCAACCCCACCCGCCACCCACACUCGGCUCCGGCUGCCCGGCCUCCAGCGAGCUCCGCGCAUCCGGGAGGGAGCCAAGGGCUCCCUGGUUCAAAGGGCCGCAGCCGGAGGGGAUGCCCUCCUCGUGUGCCCCAGGGUGCAGAAGCAGACUGCAGGGCGGUGGGACCAGCCUGGGCCACGGCUGACAACGGAGAGGAACCAGACUCCAAUGGGGGCAGCCUCUGGCCUGGCAAAGCCUCUCUGAUACCCCACGGGUCAAAUGAAUGGAUUUCUGUGGAAAUCGUAAAUGCGAGGUUAUAACUUCAUAGGCACCCGCUUCGUGGGAGACAUUUGCAUUGGCCACAGCUGAAUGACUCAAAACACACCGCAGCCCGAACUGGUGGCCCCCUGACAACAUGUCUCAUUCAUUUUAUCUUUGCUCUGAAAGCAGCUUUGCAGCUUAGGUGACUACCCUUGUUUAGUGAAAUCAUGGUUCUGUAUUUUGCUUCCAUUGUGCAGUUACUUUGAGCUAUGUGGGUCACAGAUGAUUUUUUAUUAUUUAUUUAUUUAUUUGCCAGUGGGGAAGGAGGCCUGGGUUUUUCGGCUUCUUUGGAGAUGGUAAUAAAGGAAAAAGAACGAGUGAA